GACUGGGAGUGAUGUCAGCUCCCGGCGCGGUGUCUGCUCGGAUUCCUGACAUGGUGUAGGGCGGGCAGGGUGGGGAAGGCGGCGAGUGGACCUGAGUGCGGCGGGGCGGGCCAGCUGGGGCUUUCGGCUCCGGGGCGAGGAGGACCAGAACUUUUGAACUAGUGCGGGCGGCUCGCCACCCCCCAGGUCCGCCCGAGAGCAGCUCAGCAGGAAAGCUUCGUGGGAGUCUCAGAGCUCAGCCCAGCAACGUUUGCAGGACAUCAGGUCCUGACGUUAUUGGAUUUUAACCAUUCAAGUACCAAGUGCUGCGUAAAAGAACUUGUAUGGAUCGCUUUGCUAAGUGUAUUCAAGAUUCGAAGAGCAAAAAAAGUCUGUAUUAAACCUGGUUUGUGAAAAUGUAAGUAAACGUCUUACCCCUUACCAUGA